GAGUUUGAUCCUGGCUCAGGAUGAACGCUAGCGGCAGGCUUAACACAUGCAAGUCGAGGGGCAUCGCGAGAGUAGCAAUACUUUUGGCGGCGACCGGCGCAAGGGUGCGUAACGCGUGAGCAACUUGCCCGUAUCAGGGGGAUAAUCGGUGGAAACGCCGUCUAAUACCCCAUAUGAGACGUCCAGGCAUCUGGUUGUUUUGAAAGUUUUUAACGGAUACGGAUAGGCUCGCGUGACAUUAGGCGGUUGGCGGGUAACGGCCCACCAAACCUACGAUGUCUAGGGGAACUGAGAGGUUAAUCCCCCACACUGGAACUGAGACACGGUCCAGACUCCUACGGGAGGCAGCAGUGAGGAAUAUUGGACAAUGGCCGGAAGGCUGAUCCAGCCAUGCCGCGUGCAGGAAUAAGGUCCUAUGGAUUGUAAACUGCUUUUGACAGGGAGCAAUAAGGUUUACGUGUAAACCGAUGAGAGUACCUGUCGAAUAAGCAUCGGCUAACUCCGUGCC
rnacentral:rRNA from 1 species